rnacentral:rRNA from 1 species
UACGUAGGGGGCGAGCGUUGUCCGGAUUUAUUGGGCGUAAAGAGCGUGUAGGCGGCCAGGUAGGUCUGCUGUGAAAACUCGAGGCUCAACCUCGAGACGUCGGCGGAAACCAUCUGGCUAGAGUCCGGAAGAGGAGAGUGGAAUUCCUGGUGUAGCGGUGAAAUGCGCAGAUAUCAGGAAGAACACCCGUGGCGAAGGCGGCUCCCUGGGACGGUACUGACGCUGAGACGCGAAAGCGUGGGGAGCGAACAGG